rnacentral:ncRNA from 1 species
AGAUUACCAAAUAAAGAUCAUCAUAGCAGAGAUAACUGGCUUUUGGCAGCCAAACAUUCAUAACGAUGCUGCAUUUUGAUCCUUUCGUGUUGGCCUUCAUAUAUCUUACUGAUGCAGAACACAGUAAGCGCUGGACUGCCUAUCCAUUAAUAGGGGGCGUGAGCUGGAUUAAGACUGUCGUGAGACAAGUUAGUUUUUGCCAAACUGAUGAAAUGUUUAUUCCAAUAGUAAUUGAAGUUUGUACAAGAGAGACCAUUCGUUCGGAAUAUUGGUAUUUGAGGCCGACUGGACAGGUAAUGGCCCGAAGCUCUCGUCCGUCGGACUAUGGCUGGAUGCCUCAAAGUCAGAAUCCGUAGUUAGAACGCGACAAUGAUUUUUUUUUUCCGAUUUUUUCUCCUCUAUAUUUAAUACGAAUAAGAGACUUUGACUUCAGAAGUAUGCUAUGCAGGGUGUAGAGAGAUUUGUGUAGUGCUUGUUAAUGUUGAAGCUGAAUAUCGGGAGAGACAGACCUACUGCAGACAACUUUUAGGCAACAUGACAUUGAAAUUGUAAAGUAAAUCAAGCCAGCAAAAAAGUAGUUGAGGCUGGGCACUUUGUUAUUCAGAUUU